GGAAAGUUGGACCUAGUUACUAGGUCCCAACGACAAGAUACACUUUUAUCAAACAAAAUAAAUAUGUUAAAAAAAAGUUGGUAUAACAACUGAAGUGUCUGAAGGGCUAUUCCUACAGCAUAUAUCAGGCCCUAUAUAGUCUUCUUUUAUAUAGACGAAAAUACUGGUACAAGUAACUAAUAUACUUUUUUUAUCACAUUUAUUGACUGGUGAAAUCAGCUUGUUCCAAAGUCCACCAUUUCCCACCUAAAUGGACGGAAAAUGUACAGAACUUCCGGUGAGCCCCUGAAGAGGAGAGCAACACAAACACAUACAGCAGCCAUAGCCACCAUUGAGAACAUUGCAGGCCUGUACAGUAGAGAUCGACUCCGACUUCCAUAAGCCAGCUUCCUAUCACAAAGUCUGCAUGGCCGAGGAAUGGCUUUUCUCUCAGUCAUUGAUAUCUCUAAGCUGGUGGUUGCACACACUUCAUCUUUCUGGUUACUGUUCUCAACGACAGACGGAACGCGAGGAAUAUCAACCACUAUAUGUCCGCUGUUCGCUUUCUUGCUAAUUUUCCUCUGUACCAGGUGAAUGUAAGAAUAAUGCCCUCGCAAGCGGGCAUAAUCUUCU
rnacentral:misc_RNA from 1 species